rfam:Dermacoccus sp. PE3 Contig4, whole genome shotgun sequence.
GUCCCCAUCGUCUAGCGGCCUAGGACACUGCCCUUUCACGGCAGCGGCACGGGUUCGAAUCCCGUUGGGGAUA